GCUUAGGACACUUGGGGCCCCUGGUUGGCUCAGUUGGUAGAGCCUGCAACUCUUGAUCUUGGCGUUGGAAGUUAAAGCCCCACGUUGGAUUUAGAGGUUACUUAAAAAUAAUAUUGUAAGAAAA